rnacentral:rRNA from 1 species
GGUUUAAUUCGAUGAUACGCGAGGAACCUUACCCGGGCUUGAACUGCAGCGGACGGAUACAGAGAUGUUGACUCCCUUCGGGGCCGCUGUGGAGGUGCUGCAUGGUUGUCGUCAGCUCGUGCCGUGAGGUGUCGGCUUAAGUGCCAUAACGAGCGCAACCCCUGUUCUCAGUUGCCAUCGGUUAAAGCCGGGCACUCUGUGAAGACUGCCUCCGCAAGGAGUGA